UACCUUUCCAAAUGCCUCAAAAAUGCUUAUAUUCACCGUGCCGGCUUGUUCGGCUAUGACGCUAAACGCUUUACGGAAUAGACGUAGCGGACCCGGGGGCGGUACCCGGCGCCUCCACCACAAGUGCAUCAGGGUUCGAAUCAGAGCCCGGACGCGAGAACAGGUGCAUUUUUGAUGGGGGCGAAAUAGGAUCGACGCGCGUGAUAAAGGUAAAGUUUGCGUUCGGCAUGGCUCCGCCGUUAUCGGGCUUUUUCUACAAGUGCCAAUGAUAAUGAAAUGGUACUCGCUGCUUAAUUGAAAGCAAGCGCGGUUCGGGGGGCACCGGGCAACAGAAGCCCCCCACU
rnacentral:tmRNA from 1 species